AGAGUUUGAUCCUGGCUCAGAUUGAACGCUGGCGGCAGGCCUAACACAUGCAAGUCGAACGGUAACAGGAUUAGCUUGCUAAUUGCUGACGAGUGGCGGACGGGUGAGUAAUGCUUGGGAACUUGCCUUUGCGAGGGGGAUAACAGUUGGAAACGACUGCUAAUACCGCAUAAUGUCUACGGACCAAACGGGGCUUUUAGCUCCGGCGCAAAGAGAGGCCCAAGUGAGAUUAGCUAGUUGGUAAGGUAACGGCUUACCAAGGCGACGAUCUCUAGCUGUUCUGAGAGGAAGAUCAGCCACACUGGGACUGAGACACGGCCCAGACUCCUACGGGAGGCAGCAGUGGGGAAUAUUGCACAAUGGGGGAAACCCUGAUGCAGCCAUGCCGCGUGUGUGAAGAAGGCCUUCGGGUUGUAAAGCACUUCCAGUUGUGAGGAAAAGUUAGUAGUUAAUACCUGCUAGCCGUGACGUUAACAACAGAAGAAGCACCGGCUAACUCCGUGCCAGCAGCCGCGGUAAUACGGAGGGUGCGAGCGUUAAUCGGAAUUACUGGGCGUAAAGCGCACGCAGGCGGUUUGUUAAGCUAGAUGUGAAAGCCCCGGGCUAAACCUGGGAUGGUCAUUUAGAACUGGCAGACUAGAGUCUUGGAGAGGGGAGUGGAAUUCCAGGUGUAGCGGUGAAAUGCGUAGAUAUCUGGAGGAACAUCAGUGGCGAAAGCGACUCCCUGGCCAAAGACUGACGCUCAUGUGCGAAAGUGUGGGUAGCGAACAGGAUUAGAUACCCUGG
rnacentral:rRNA from 1 species